UACGUAGGGGGCAAGCGUUAUCCGGAUUUACUGGGUGUAAAGGGAGCGUAGGUGGCUGGAUAAGUCAGAUGUGAAAGCCCAGGGCUCAACCCUGGGACUGCAUUUGAAACUAUCUGGCUAGAGUGCAGGAGAGGUAAGUGGAAUUCCUAGUGUAGCGGUGAAAUGCGUAGAUAUUAGGAGGAACACCAGUGGCGAAGGCGGCUUACUGGACUGUAACUGACACUGAGGCUCGAAAGCGUGGGGAGCAAACAGG
rnacentral:rRNA from 1 species